rnacentral:rRNA from 1 species
AGAGUUUGAUCCUGGCUCAGGACGAACGCUGGCGGCGUGCCUAAUACAUGCAAGUCGAGCGGACCGAAGGGAGCUUGCUCCUUUAGGUUAGCGGCGGACGGGUGAGUAACACGUGGGCAACCUGCCCUGCAGACUGGGAUAACUUCGGGAAACCGGAGCUAAUACCGGAUAACACCGAAAACCGCAUGGUUUUCGGUUGAAAGGCGGCUUUUAGCUGUCACUGCAGGAUGGGCCCGCGGCGCAUUAGCUAGUUGGUGAGGUAACGGCUCACCAAGGCGACGAUGCGUAGCCGACCUGAGAGGGUGACCGGCCACACUGGGACUGAGACACGGCCCAGACUCCUACGGGAGGCAGCAGUAGGGAAUCUUCCGCAAUGGACGAAAGUCUGACGGAGCAACGCCGCGUGAGCGAAGAAGGUCUUCGGAUCGUAAAGCUCUGUUGUCAGGGAAGAACAAGUGCCGUUCGAA